rnacentral:lncRNA from 1 species
CCUAAUCUCAUCCAUACUUAUAUUGGUUUAUGAACCAACUAGCCUUAGGAUAUAGAGAUACCAUUGGUCAAUGAAAUGGAUGGGAUAGAAUGGGAUUAAAGAUGAAGAGGGAGGGGAAAUGAGACAAACACAAAUUGAUCAUGGGAGGAAUUUUAUCAAAUUAAAAUCAUUCAUUCAUUUUAGGAGAUGAAAUGUAUAUUUCAUCAAUCCCAUAAAACCAAUGA